rnacentral:tRNA from 1 species
GUUUCCGUAGUGUAGUGGUUAUCACAUUUGCCUUACACGCAGUAGGUCCCGGGUUCGAAAUCCAGCUGAAGCA